rnacentral:lncRNA from 1 species
GUACACAGGACAGAACAGGAUGAUCUUUCGAGUGCCCUUCUACCUGCAGGGGUAUAUGGUGAGGACAGUUUCCACACCGUAAGUCAACACAAGAUACUGCCACCUUCAGCGGGUCAGGCCACGAGAGGUCAAUGGUGCCUACCUCCCCACUGCUUCCUUCCUCCCUCCUGUCCGCGAUGGUGCGCGCCAGGGCCCCGCGUUACCGCUUCCUUUUCAGGGCUGUCCCGAUACGCAUCCCUUCCAAUAAAUGAAGAUUUCCAUCUCAGUGAACAAAAACAAGUCAACGCACCAACAAAAUGGGCUACCUUCCAGGGUUGGUCUGCUGACAGAUUAAAAAGUGUGUCAACACAGCUUUAUAUUACCAAACAUUGCAAAGCAGAAGCCUUUGUUUGUUUUGUUUUGCUUUGUUCUCCUGGUUUCAUGGUAAUGUCAGUGGACCCACGCCUCCCCCCGUGCAAAGGUAGACGGACCACGUUCUGCUGGCCUGGCCGGGACCUUGAGAUGUCAAAGUGUCAGCGAGUUGCAGCGGUCAGUGUCUCACUCCUGCCAAAUGAAUUGGCCAGGACAGCGACAGCAAGGCACCAGUACUGAACAAACAGCAACACAACGCUCCAUCAAAUAGAUGGUGGAAAAAGCGGAAGGGCCAGAAACUAAAUCAGGACAGUGCCUUUUACGAACAGGCUCCAAGCCUUUCCAUUAGAAAAAAAAAGAAAAAGAGUUAUCAGAUGAGUAAACACAGCCUACCUCUGAAUGAGGAUUCAACGAUCCUUAGAAGGGUUAUCAGCCAGGCCAACUAGCCUCGGAGAGCUCAUGGAAACCCCUCUUAUCUCCUGGAAAAAUAAAUAUGAGAAACACAAUAAAGCUACUCUCA